CCACAACAUCCAUCAUCAAUCAUUAAAAUUGCUAAAAAUAUUUUCACUCACUGUCCCAAAUAUUGUUAUUCUCUCUCUCUAAAAAGAUUCAAUGCAGAAGAGACAUGGGUUAUGCAAAAAUAUUCGAGGAAAUAAAAAGGGGCAAGUGCCCGGAACCUCGAAAAAGAAAAAGAAAGAAAGUGAGACGAGAGGUAAAAAUGGACAAGUGUCCGAAGUAGAAUUAGGGGUACAAAGAUGCCCACUUGAGCGGAAAAAAUGGACAAGUGUCCGACAGUAGAAUUAGGGGUAUCUACUACCCACCUGAAAAAAAACAGAAGAAAAGAUAGCCCAUGAUCUCCCAAGGCAAAGAUCAGAGGAGAGGAGAGAUAGCAAUAUAAGGAGC
rnacentral:lncRNA from 1 species